AGCUAUCUAGAAGUUGUCCAGGGCUCCCUGAGGGAAGCCAGCACAAGAGCUCUGCCAUAGAAGGACAUUGGACAGAAGUGAAGAGUCCAAUCAGAAACUCUUUUUGAGAGACUGAACGCAAAGCAUUCAGAGAGUCAGCAGGCUGGAGAGGCCAAGACACACACACGAAGAAGGCAAUUGAGAGCUGUACUAGCCUGGCAUGCAGACAGCAGCUUUAGAAUCAGAUCUGCCUUCUGGCGGCUUCCCACCUAGGAGCCAUGGGACCUUUGUGAAGUCACCAAUUGUGCUGUGGAUGCUUCAUUUGUGAAGGAGAACAGGACUGCCUUACUUCCCAGGAUUUAGCAACCAGGGCCUGGAAGGCAGACAAAGGUAACUGGCCCCAUGUGAUAAAAACAGGCCCGGGAGCGUCUUCAUUAAGGCAGGCAGUUUUGGGCCACCCGAUCAUGACCAUGGAUCUACGUGCUGGAACUUGAAAGUAUGUCCACGCUCAAGAUUUCUGUCUCUUCUGAAGCAAGAAAGGAGUGGUUUUGCAUGCCCUGCCUAUGCACAUCUUUAUGAAAAUGUAACCUUUUCACUCACUUUCUGAACUCCACAAAAGAGUCAGCUUUCUCCUGUUGGUGAUGAAACCAGCUGUUGAAAUACUUCAAUUGGGUUGCAGUUGCUUCUCCUGUGAGCUGCAUGGCCAUCUCUUCUUUUGUUUCAAAAACUUGGCUGGCACUUUCAGCAGCCACUGUGAAGUUGGUAAAUAUCUAAAUGACUUCUUCAUUUUCUGACCCUUGAACAGAGAAGUAGAAGAUUUUCUGUGUUCAUAACUAGCAUGUCUGGAUUGUGUAAUUUCAUCUUUGCAAAUAUAUCACCAAUUCAAGAAA